AUUGGACGCUGGCGGCAUGCUUUACACAUGCAAGUCGAACGGCAGCACGGGCUUCGGCCUGGUGGCGAGUGGCGAACGGGUGAGUAAUAUAUCGGAACGUACCCAGAAGUGGGGGAUAACGUAGCGAAAGUUACGCUAAUACCGCAUACGAUCUAUGGAUGAAAGCAGGGGACCGCAAGGCCUUGUGCUCCUGGAGCGGCCGAUAUCUGAUUAGCUAGUUGGUGAGGUAAAGGCUCACCAAGGCGACGAUCAGUAGCUGGUCUGAGAGGACGACCAGCCACACUGGAACUGAGACACGGUCCAGACUUCUACGGGAGGCAGCAGUGGGGAAUUUUGGACAAUGGGCGCAAGCCUGAUCCAGCAAUGCCGCGUGAGUGAAGAAGGCCUUCGGGUUGUAAAGCUCUUUUGUCAGGGAAGAAACGGUAGAGGCUAAUAUCCUUUGCUAAUGACGGUACCUGAAGAAUAAGCACCGGCUAACUACGUG
rnacentral:rRNA from 1 species